rnacentral:rRNA from 1 species
AGCGAACGCUGGCGGCAUGCCUAACACAUGCAAGUCGAACGAAGCCUUCGGGCUUAGUGGCGCACGGGUGCGUAACGCGUGGGAAUCUGCCCUUUGGUUCGGAAUAACAGUUGGAAACGACUGCUAAUACCGGAUGAUGACGAAAGUCCAAAGAUUUAUCGCCAGAGGAUGAGCCCGCGUAGGAUUAGCUAGUUGGUGUGGUAAAGGCGCACCAAGGCGACGAUCCUUAGCUGGUCUGAGAGGAUGAUCAGCCGCACUGGGACUGAGACACGGCCCAGACUCCUACGGGAGGCAGCAGUGGGGAAUAUUGGACAAUGGGCGAAAGCCUGAUCCAGCAAUGCCGCGUGAGUGAUGAAGGCCCUAGGGUUGUAAAGCUCUUUUACCCGGGAUGAUAAUGACAGUACCGGGAGAAUAAGCCCCGGCUAACUCCGUGCCAGCAGCCGCGGUAA